rnacentral:rRNA from 1 species
GACGAACGCUGGCGGCGUGCUUAACACAUGCAAGUCGAGCGGUAAGGCCCUUUCGGGGGUACACGAGCGGCGAACGGGUGAGUAACACGUGGGUGACCUGCCCUCAGCUCUGGGAUAAGCCUGGGAAACUGGGUCUAAUACUGGAUAUGACUCCACGGUGCACGUCGUGGGGUGGAAAGCCUUGUGCGGCUGAGGAUGGGCCCGCGGCCUAUCAGCUUGUUGGUGGGGUGAUGGCCUACCAAGGCGACGACGGGUAGCCGGCCUGAGAGGGCGACCGGCCACACUGGGACUGAGACACGGCCCAGACUCCUACGGGAGGCAGCAGUGGGGAAUCUUGCGCAAUGGGCGAAAGCCUGACGCAGCGACGCCGCGUGAGGGAUGACGGCCUGGU